GCCAGUGUACCAUAGUGGUUUGAGUGUUGGACUACAAAUUUGGAGACCAGGGUUCGAUUCCUGGCUUGGCCA